rnacentral:rRNA from 1 species
UUUAUGGAGAGUUUGAUCCUGGCUCAGGAUGAACGCUGGCGGCGUGCCUAAUACAUGCAAGUCGAGCGAACAGACGAGGAGCUUGCUCCUCUGACGUUAGCGGCGGACGGGUGAGUAACACGUGGAUAACCUACCUAUAAGACUGGGAUAACUUCGGGAAACCGGAGCUAAUACCGGAUAACAUGUUGAACCGC